rnacentral:SRP_RNA from 1 species
GAGUGCGGGGACGGACCGUCGAAAGGCGGCACGCUAGGCGGCACGUCCUUCGUCUCCAUGGCGCGGGCCAACGGCGCGGGCCUCGCGAAAUUGGAGCGCA